UCGAGCGGAGACAGUGAGUAGCUUGCUAUGAGCUGUUUUAGCGGCGGACGGGUGAGUAACGCGUGAGCAACCUUUCCCAGACAGGGGAAUAACACACCGAAAGGUGUACUAAUACCGCAUAAGACCACGGGAUCACAUGGUUCUGAGGUAAAAGAUUUAUCGGUUUGGGGUGGGCUCGCGUCCGAUUAGGUAGUUGGUGAGGUAACGGCCCACCAAGCCGACGAUCGGUAGCCGACCUGAGAGGGUGAUCGGCCACAUUGGGACUGAGACACGGCCCAAACUCCUACGGGAGGCAGCAGUGGGGAAUAUUGGGCAAUGGAGGAAACUCUGACCCAGCAACGUCGCGUGGAGGAAGAAGGUUUUCGGAUCGUAAACUCCUGUCCUUGGAGACGAGUAGAAGACGGUAUCCAAGGAGGAAGCCCCGGCUAACUACGUGCCAGCAGCCGCGGUAAUACGUAGGGGGCAAGCGUUGUCCGGAAUAAUUGGGCGUAAAGGGCGCGUAGGCGGCUCGGUAAGUCUGGAGUGAAAGUCCUGCUUUUAAGGUGGGAAUUGCUUUGGAUACUGUCGGGCUUGAGUGCAGGAGAGGUUAGUGGAAUUCCCAGUGUAGCGGUGAAAUGCGUAGAGAUUGGGAGGAACACCAGUGGCGAAGGCGACUAACUGGACUGUAACUG
rnacentral:rRNA from 1 species